AACAAAAAUCGCUCAAUCAUGAAAAGGCUAACCUCACCCUUACCAUCUGUCACCGCACACAGUCACUCUCCUCUCUGGGCUUUCCAUGGGCGUCGUGUGUAACCAGGGCCGUCACGGGGAAGUGUUCUCACCCGGAGAGCGACACACCCGCGUUGUAAUAUAGUUUGUCGUUGUAUGUGUGUCGGUCAAAGUAACGUUAGCUUUUUCACAUUCCGAUUUUGUAAAAUGCUUUCUUUCUGUCUGUGACCGUUUUGGAGAACGGAAGUGCGCGUCGUGUGUAAUUAAAAGUCAAGCCUUUGCAAACAAACACGUUAAAAAAAACUAGAAAACUGUGUUAAACUUAUCGAUAAUAGUACGCUAAAACAAACUGUUAAAAUUACACACAACAUCCAGUGUAAUGACACAUUCUACAAGAAAAACAACAUAAAAAGGUCCAAGAGGGCCUUUUUUGUUUUGCUCUAUUCUUUUCCCGUUGGCUAAACAACACACGGCACAACAACAUACAGAAUCCAGGCAGAAAGAACCGAUCAGCUCGCUAAAACCCCAAUCCACACGGUAUCAACAUCGGACGGCAGAAAACGAGGUUAGCAACAACACCCAUCUGCUGCUCGCGGGCUCUUCCGGGACGCCGGAAUGGAGCCUGUGAGGGUCUGGCCGAUUCCAUCGGACACGAGUGGCAACCGGAAGAAAUUAAACGGUUCCUGUACGUCGGGAUCCGAAGCAUAGCAUAAUGACCCGCCAAACAAUCAUUAUAACCACACAAGUGACGAAUGCAAAACCGCAAGUAUGCCUUUAUGUGACGUCUGUAGGGAAAAUUAGUUUAAAAUAAACCCAAAAAUGUAACCCUAUCAA